rnacentral:rRNA from 1 species
CUAGCGAGCCCAACCUCCCACCCGUGUUUACUGUACCUUAGUUGCUUCGGCGGGCCCGCCAUUCAUGGCCGCCGGGGGCUCUCAGCCCCGGGCCCGCGCCCGCCGGAGACACCACGAACUCUGUCUGAUCUAGUGAAGUCUGAGUUGAUUGUAUCGCAAUCAGUUAAAACUUUCAACAAUGGAUCUCUUGGUUCCGGCAUCGAUGAAGAACGCAGCGAAAUGCGAUAACUAGUGUGAAUUGCAGAAUUCCGUGAAUCAUCGAGUCUUUGAACGCACAUUGCGCCCCCUGGUAUUCCGGGGGGCAUGCCUGUCCGAGCGUCAUUGCUGCCCAUCAAGCACGGCUUGUGUGUUGGGUCGUCGUCCCCUCUCCGGGGGGGACGGGCCCCAAAGGCAGCGGCGGCACCGCGUCCGAUCCUCGAGCGUAUGGGGCUUUGUCACCCGCUCUGUAGGCCCGGCCGGCGCUUGCCGAACGCAAAUCAAUCUUUUCCAGGUUGACCUCGGAUCAGGUAGGGAUACCAACGCUGAACUUAAGCAUAUCAAUAAGCCGGAGGAAG